UGUCCCUGCCGGAUCAUCUGCCUCCCCGGUAACUACUGCAUGGAGCUAUUUCUAUGCAUUGGGACUCGUUUUUAAUGGUCAUCAAAUGAGCAGGAGGAAAAAGCUGGUGCCCAUAAAAAGUCCAUAAUAAUCAGCCGAUUCUCGGGAUGACAAGGGAAAACUGUCGGACUUACCAAAAAUUCAGCGAUGAUGCUCGACAGUGUCCAAGUGUCUGCCAAGAGAAUGGCAAGAGCGACCAGAUUCUUGAUGAUGGCGAUGACAGCGAUUUACCAGGUGUGGAAGACGACACAGGAAGCAUCUCGAUAGGGUUCAACAGGGCCUGUCUGAAGAAUGUCUUUACUGUUCUUCUUAUCCUAAUAUACGUCCUGCUGACAGCCGUGGCACUCUUCCUCGCAUACCAGACCAUCUCUGACUUCAGAGAGAAGCUUAGCCACCCGGUGAUGUCAGUAACUUUCAAAGAAGUGGACGAGUACGAUGCAGUAGGUAUCGCCCUGUAUCUGGGGAAGGCCACAUUGCUGAGUUGCCAGCACCACCUGCAUGACCACAUCCCAGCUCUGGUAUCACCAGGAAACCCUGGGGAUGGGGGCUGCGUGAUGGAAUCGGUCUCCUACAUGGAUCCUUACUCCAACCAGACCAGGGAAGUGACUGUGGUUCAGGGGCCAACCGACAUCAGGAAUCGCGAGCUGAUUUUCCUGCAGUUUAGCCAGAAUGAAACAGAAGAAGACUUCAGCUCCAUCACUUAUAUGCUCUUCUACAAAUUCGCCGACUUGACUGCAAGCUCAGAUAAAGCAGAGUUUAUGAAAGAAUGUGUGAGGAAUUACUCCAUGUGGACCUUCUCGGGAGGCUUUCGAACUUGGGUGAAGAUGUCCUUGAUAAGGACGUCCGGAAGAGGGAAAGAGUCCGUGGAAUUCCGGCAAGAGUCCAGUGUGGUAAAGUACAAUGACAAGAGGCCCGAGUCGGAGAGGACCAAUCAGCUGUUUUUUGUUGUUUUUGAGUGGCGUGACGUGUUCAUCCAGGAAGUUAGGGACAUUGUGACGGCGAACGCUUGGAGCAGCGUCGCGAUUCUCUGCGGCGUCUUCAUGGCCCUCUUCAAGGUGGCGAAUUUCGCCAAGCUCAGCGUCAAGUGGAUUAUGAAAAUCCGCAAGGCACACCUGAGAAGGAGAGCCAAGGAAAUGGCACAGGUUACCUGAAGGGCUUUCUGGAGAUGCUGCGGAAAGGUCACAGACUUCUCAGGGAACCCAGACAUGCCAGUAAUCAUGCCAACCUCUUACAGAUCAUUGAUAAGAUGAUAACUGAGUCAACCAGCAGCGUACAGCAGAGAUAUAGAUGAUUAAAGUCAGAUUUUUGAAGGUUCUUUUUUGUAGAAUGUAAAAGAGUGCUAGCGUGUCUUGCUGUGUUUUAGUCAGUAAAAAUCAAUUUAAAAAUUAAUUCUGCUAUAUAAUGCAUUUAGUAUUCAUCUAAGCAUGACAGUAUUAAUUCAUGUCUUGUUGUUCCUGGAUGACUACUUUAUCAUCCAAGAAGGCCAAUUAUGUGUAUAUAUUUAUGUUUGAUUGCUUUUUAUUGUUUUUUACACACUGUGUUAUGCUAUUGUGCAAAUGGCCUGUUGGAAUUCUUUCAUGAUGUCUUUCCUUUUAGGGAGUCUUACUUUGCAAGGUUUUGCAAUGACAGUUACUCAUCUACAUCAUCCAUGAGUAUUUCAUUGUUACUCCACCUGAAUAUCAAAGCUGCCGCCAUCGUUGAAUUUUCUCCCACAAUUAUGUUGUGCCACAUUACUAAACCACUUGUGUAAAUAAUAACAAAGCUGUCAUUAUGGGACGCGAGGUAGAUUCGUCUGCAGAAGUGAAGAGAGUAUGAAAUUUCUUGCAGAGGUCAUGUGGCAAAUCCAGAUCCAGCCAGUAAAAGGUCACACAAGGGGAAAAUGAAAGGUGUUUCACAAUGUAAACACCCCCUCAUUAAAAAUGUGCUGAGGUCACAGCCUUUAGCCAACAGCAAAGGGGUAUUUGACAAGGAUGGUGCCAACAACGACUCAGGACUCCACCUAGAAUGAUACGCAAAUCAGAUUUUCAACCUCUGUUGAAGAGCAGCAAGAAAGUAAAGCACAUGAAAGGAGCCAAGAAAUAUUUGUAGUUGGACUUGUAAUCCACCAAUGAGUCCCAGGCAGCUCUAACUUAACCUGAAGAAUGGAGCAAAGGUCAGGUCAGAAACGAAAGUCCUGGUCUUGGAGAUGCCAGCAUGGAGGAGAUGGUGUGAUGUUUUGGGCUGGUGGUGAUCUGCCUGCUCUGGUUUCUUCAUGGUGCAAAGUUGACUGCAGUGCUCAAAAGUAAGCCUCUGGCACUAAAGCAAAAGAUAUUCAUGCAUGACAAAGUUCCAUCACAUUCUGCCAAGAAGACAAGAGAUGUUGGCGACAGUGGCCUUAAAUAUGGCCAACUAGUGGAGUGAACAGCAUCUUCGCUCGAUUUCAGUCCCUCCGAGAAGCAGAGGAGCAUCAUUAACAUUUUGACCACUUAUUUGUGAUAUAUAAAUAAUGCAAAUUUGAUGCAUUUUUUAGUAGUAUAUACUCAUUCAUUUUUGAGAUAGUGGAUAAUUCAUAAUUUGCAUUAUAGCGAGAUGCAGCGUGUAUAGAACAAUGAAAUUCUUGCAGCUUUUAGCCUAUUCAGUCUUAGAAAGGCAGUGCUAGGAGUUAUAUUUUUAAUUAUGUAUUAGGUUUGUUAAAAUAAAUUGUUUAACAUUUUUGAUUUUGAUUUUUUCUGCCAUUUGAUUGAUAGCUCGCUAGGCCCCGAGACCAGCUGUUGAACAGCAGUGUAUUUACAGUGUGUGCGUGUAUUCAAAUGAUCGUGCAAUUGCAACUUUUGUAGAUUUAAACAAGUGGCAGCGAGAAAGUGCCGCAGGUCCAGUGUUCUGUGGUAUUUCACUUGAAACUUUCACCACUGAAAUGGCAGUUAUAUCCUCCUGAGGCUAAAGCAGGAGAAACUAGCGGUGGCAGCGAUAAAUCAAGAGAGAGGGAGCGGAGGCAAGACGGAGAGCGGCGUGUCACGUUAAGGGAGAAAUCUCCACUGGUGACGUUCAUGAGACAAUCCUGGGAAAGGCGGAGAUUG